GAUUGACCUCGGAUCAGGUAGGGAUACCCGCUGAACUUAAGCAUAUCAAUAAGCGGAGGAAAAGAAACCAACAGGGAUUGCCUCAGUAACGGCGAGUGAAGCGGCAACAGCUCAAAUUUGAAAUCUGGCUCCUUCGGCGCCCGAGUUGUAAUUUGUAGAGGACGUUUCGGGUGCGGCCCGGUCUAAGUCCCUUGGAACAGGGCGUCAUAGAGGGUGAGAAUCCCGUAUGUGACCGGUGACCAACCCCAUGUGAAACCCCUUCGACGAGUCGAGUUGUUUGGGAAUGCAGCUCAAAAUGGGUGGUAAAUUCCAUCUAAAGCUAAAUACUGGCCAGAGACCGAUAGCGCACAAGUAGAGUGAUCGAAAGAUGAAAAGCACUUUGGAAAGAGAGUCAAACAGUACGUGAAAUUGUUGAAAGGGAAGCGCUGGCAACCAGACCUGCCCCGGGCGAUCAGCGGGUGUUCUCACCCGUGCACUCGCCCGCGAUCAGGCCAGCAUCGGUUUCGGCGGUCGGAUACAGACCCGGGGAACGUGGCUCUCUUCGGGGAGUGUUAUAGCCCCGGGUGCAAUGCGGCCAGCCGGGACCGAGGACCGCGCUUCGGCUAGGAUGCUGGCGUAAUG
rnacentral:rRNA from 1 species